AAGAAGAGGUAUAAAAGAUCACCGACUAGCUGCCUGCUACACACCCCGAGUAGUCUCACCAUUGCAGUCACCACUUUCACCUGAGGAAAGACAAGAGGCCGCGAGUUCUCAGUCCACAAGACAAACAGGACAACAACACAUCGGUUAACGGCCGCCGCCUUCUACCUGUGCGGGCUUUUGUUUCUUCUCCACGUCGACUCUGUGAACAGCUUGACAUGCAAGAAUUGUUCGUUCAUUACUCCUGACUGCAAUUCUGGCAACGUGGCAGAGAUUGACUGCGAACCCAGCAAAGUCUGCUACGCGGUUAGACUUUUCGUCCCAGGAGAUCCCAACCAGGUAUUUACACUUCGUGGCUGCACAGCAAAAAACGAAGGUUUCCACUGCGCGGAUUUCGCGGAUAUUUGGAAGGAAUGCCGCCUCUACUGCUCCACAGACAACUGUAACAGUGCAUCCAAUAUUGAUGACUAAUGAUAGGACUGUUUGACCUGCAUCAUUUUGUCAGAAAUCGCCACUGACACCAAAAACUAGGGUUUUAGUACUUUUAUGUUAUAAAAGGAAAUAUAAAGAGAAAAUACUCUUCAGUAAAAUUUUAUCCAAGAUACACAAAAGAUAAACUAUGUAAUCCCAUAUAAAAACCGUCUUCUGUAUUUAUUGCUUCUUGCUAUGCAUCAACGUGAAAGCUUUAAAAAGACAUUCCCAGUCAUAAAAUAUUGUUUCUGGCUUGUUAAAUGGCAACAUCUGACAUGAAAUUAUUUAAGUUGUGUCCAGAAAACUGAAGAAAAAUAGUAAUCGAUCGAAGUUGUUUGGUUUCUUUGUGGUGUGAAACUAUGUAGAAAUCGAUGUGAUUGUGUGAUACGUAUUCUAAUUUUGCAGCACUUUUUCUGCUGUCCUCUACAUUCUACUCUACCAUUCGCUCUUAUCGCUCUGUCUUUUUAUUUUACUAUGUCUGCUCGUAUUUCCGUUGUUGUUUCAAUCUGCGACGCCAUGAAUCAAUCAACAUUCAGCUGAAACCUUUUUUUUAAAUAAAAGAAGAUGAGCUGUGUAGACAAUUCAGUUGUCAGUCACUCAUUGAAUCCUUUUCACUUGGCUGUCAUUCAGAUGUAAACUUAAGUUUGUCAAUAAACACUUUGCCAAAGUAA